CCUCUGCCCUCUUUCUUUCUCUCAGGAGAGUUUUUUCCCCCUAGUUUCUUUUUAUUUUAAGGAAUGACUCAACCCAUGUGAAUAUUAUCCAAAAAGUACUCUCAGGUGGGGCUGACGGACAAAGGGUGUGUGUACCGCGAGACACACCGCAGCUCCUGGUGCCGCUAGGAUGAAUGAAGAGGCGUUGGGAAGACAAGGAGUGAGGUUUUGCCUUGCCUUAAAGCAACUGACCAAAUAAAUGACUACGUACUAAACCUCUAAAACCAG